GAUGAACGCUGGCGGCGUGCCUAAUACAUGCAAGUCGAGCGAACGGACGAGAAGCUUGCUCCUUUGAUGUUAGCGGCGGACGGGUGAGUAACACGUGGAUAACCUACCUAUAAGACUGGGAUAACUUCGGGAAACCGGAGCUAAUACCGGAUAAUAUUUCGAACCGCAGGGUGCAAAAGAGAAAGACAGCUUUGCUGUCACUUAUAGAUGGAUCCGCGCUGCAUUAGCUAGUUGGUAAGGUAACGGCUUACCAAGGCAACGAUGCGUAGCCGACCUGAGAGGGUGAUCGGCCACACUGGAACUGAGACACGGUCCAGACUCCUACGGGAGGCAGCAGUAGGGAAUCUUCCGCAAUGGGCGAAAGCCUGACGCAGCCACGCCGCGUGAGUGAUGAAGGUCUUCGGAUCGUAAAACUCUGUUAUUAGGGAAGAACAUAUGUGUAAGUAACUGUGCACGUCUUGACGGUACCUAAUCAGAAAGCCACGGCUAACUACGUG
rnacentral:rRNA from 1 species